UCUUGAUUAAGCGGGUGAUUUGGGGCUCUGAGAAACCGUGGUUCUUGAAGAAGGCGAUGACAGUAUCAGCUCUAUCCGAGGUUUUAAACUGAACAUACUUGGCGGCAGUUAAAGCAGAUUCCGAGGACAACCCACAUUUCUUUUUAAGGUACGAAACUGUAAAUGACUGUUUCUUUGAAGAGCUUGAAAUGCAUCUGAGAGUGAGAGAUGCAGAUACUCCUAAAAGUGACGAUGAAAGGGACGAUGGGUCGUUUUUGGAAACGCAUAAAACUUUGUGACUUUGAGAGGCUGUAACAGCGAGUCUCCCAUGGAGAAUUCUUUUGCAGAGAAAGUAAAACAUGGGGAUUAGAACUAAGUUAACUAGAGAAGGAAUUUACCUGUUUCUGGAGAUUAAAAAUUUGUUCUUUGAAAAUGGGCAGAUUCUGAAUUCAAAGAAGAAACCUCCACCCGUAAGGCAGCAACCUUGAAAGACAGGUCCUUUUUGGAGUCGACUGUUUAGAGACCCAGGCUUCUGAAGCUGUUGAGGACAAAAUUGAGAUAAUAUAUUGUUUUUUCUUUUUAUCAAAACCUGAACCUUUCCCGUUCUUCUAUCUAAGAUUUUCUACGCUUAAUGCAUAUGAAAAUUUUCUCGUGAAGAAGUAUGAUAAGCCAUGAGCUUCUUCAUUAUAUAAAUUUCAAUCGAAUUAACUUUCUUUACAUUGAACUUUGCCCGGCGUGAUAUCUUUAGUACUAUAUGCCGACAUAUAUGUUUGUUUUGGGGCCAUCAAAGACCGAUCUGCAUAGCCACUACUGCCUACGCCACUAUCCGUGUAUGAAUUCUAACUCGUCGGGGGUUUGAAAUCCUCAUAUUUCUUAUCCAAUUUGCCAAGGUGGGACUCUUAAUUAGUUUGUUUGACAUAUUUAACAUGGAGCAAUAUUUUUAAUAUUGAUAUUAAAUAUAUCAAUUCAGAGAGAAAACUUGAAUAAAAUCAUAGGAGUGUGUUAUAGGUAAGUGAUGAAAAUUCAAAGUAUAAUAAGGUUUCCUCUUACACCAGUCAUUGUUGGAGGUUAGUAGCUGCUAAACCACUUGGGAGGUAAACUAAAAUGAUUCAAUUUCCAUACCGUAGGAUAUAAGUAGAAUCUUUAAAACAUGCUGCCUUCUGAGCCUUGCAUGGUAGGCUACUAGGCAAAGUAUGUAGUUUUUUUUUCCUCUGGUGGACUCCUACUGCCAACCAUUGCACUGGCAAAGCUUGUAUGCUUUAUACCCUCUGGUGGCAACCUACCGCCAACCAUUGCACUUACUCAUCACAGAAGCAAAGAAAGAAAGUUGGAGGAGUUUAUCAGGUUGGCUACACAAAGAUUAGCAUAGUCAAGAACUCCAAGUUCCAUGUUUCAAAUGACAGAAAAUAAUGGAAUUUUGGUUUCACAACCCUUCCUAUUUAGCUUCCAUUCUACAAUCUCCUAUCCCACAGUCCCUGCACAACCAAAAGGAAAGAAACAAAAAACUGUAGAACAGCAAAAGAACCAGAAAAACACAAGCUUUUCUUGGAGCUUCUUAACAACUGGGGCUGGAGGAUUAUGGUACAGUUUCUGAAUAGCUGGAUAUUCAACCAAUCCUUAAAUAUGCUCCUUGCUAACACAUGGCAAGAGGGGGUGCAACUACAGAAGUACAGAUAUCAGGCCAAACAAUAAUUAUAACCUGAGAAAUUUGUCUCGCAUCUGCAUUUGGAGACGAAGAUAACACAUGAUAGCACAGCAAAUUGUCAGAGCACAUGGUCGAAUUCAAGUUUCACUAAUGGCAGAAAAGAAUAAAGCAAAAAUUUGUAUUAGCUGCAUUUCUAACCUAAACCCAAGCAAAGUUUCAGAAUAAAGAAUCAAACUCAAUCAAAGUACCUUGAGGAAAAUCUGAAUCUUUUAAUGUCAACAAUCUAUAAAUGCUGCAGCUUGUAUCAACCAAUUUUCCAGUUUUUGGAAAGAUUGAGCUUCUCUUGAUAUAGCUUUAACAGCUCAGACUCUUCUGCUUUAAAGCGGUUCACAAACUUCUCAAUAAAUAAAUUGUCUGAAGUCUCCAACAAAGCCUGCAAGUUAACACGCUUGAUAAUACCUUUGGACAACAAAUCUAGAGCAAACAGACCCCUUGGAACAAUCUUUUUAUCCAAGCUCAUCAUCAGUAUACGGGGACGUUUGGCGAAAAUCGAAGAUCGAAAACCCAUUUUAUUCACAAGGAAAUCCAUUGUCAACAUAAAUUUAUCCUCAGACACUUUAAUAAACAUGGGAUACCUCCGAAAAGCUUCCAAAGCCUCUUUCUCAGACCAACCAUACUUCUUAAAAACUUCAAACUUCUUCUUCCAUGUUGAUUUGCUCAUUGAACUCAUUGCAGAGAGUGCUACCAUAAACAUUGGCCUGGAAGGGAUGAGCCCCAUUUCCUUUGUUUCCUCGAUCAUAUUCUUAAACUGAAUUGGACUUCUGAUUAAUGUUGAAGGCAGUGAAUGAAGUGUUGUAACAAUCCUACAUUCAGGCACUCCAUUAUCCAGCAAAAGAUCGAUAUUGGGUAACAAAAUAGCAUUAAGAUCAUAACAUAAAAGGCGUGGAUAGCGUUUUACAGCAUGAAUAAUCUUCUCAUCAGACUUUAGUAAAUUACUAAGACAAUUAAAAGAAGGGACAAUUUGUUUCUCUAAGCUUGACCCAAAAAUUGCUGGGUUAUCAGACAAGAUUUUGAUAAGGUCAGGGCUUGAAGUACCUUUAGAGCGCAAAAACUCAAGUUUGGGCGAAAGGGUUUUCUCGACAUCAUAUAAAAGCACUACCGGCCGUCUCUUGAUGAGGCGGCUGAUUUGGGGUUCUGAGAAACCGUGGUUCUUGAAGAAGGCAAUGACAGUGUCAGCUCUAUCCGAGGUUGCAAACUGAACAUACUUGGCGGCAGUUAAAGCAGAUUCCGAGGACAACCCACAUUUCUUUUGAAGGUACGAAACUGUAAAUGACUGCUUCUUUGAAGAGCUUGAAAUGCAUCUCUGAGUGAGAGAUGCAGAUACUCCUACAAGUGACGAUGGGUCGUUUUGGGAAACGUAUAAAACUUUGUGACUUUGAGAGGCUGUAACAGCGUGCCUCCCAUG
rnacentral:lncRNA from 1 species